rnacentral:rRNA from 1 species
GUAAGUACGUGUCGGAUUAUUGGGCGUAAGGGCUCGCAGGCGGUUUCUUAAGUCUGAUGUGAAAGCCCCCGGCUCAACCGGGGAGGGUCAUUGGAAACUGGGGAACUUGAGUGCAGAAGAGGAGAGUGGAAUUCCACGUGUAGCGGUGAAAUGCGAAGAGAUGUGGAGGAACACCAGUGGCGAAGGCGACUCUCUGGUCUGUAACUGACGCUGAGGAGCGAAAGCGUGGGGAGCGAACAGGAUUAGAUACCCUGGUAGUCCACGCCGUAAACGAUGAGUGCUAAGUGUUAGGGGGUUUCCGCCCCUUAGUGCUGCAGCUAACGCAUUAAGCACUCCGCCUGGGGAGUACGGUCGCAAGACUGAAACUCAAAGGAAUUGACGGGGGCCCGCACAAGCGGUGGAGCAUGUGGUUUAAUUCGAAGCAACGCGAAGAACCUUACCAGGUCUUGACAUCCUCUGACAAUCCUAGAGAUAGGACGUCCCCUUCGGGGGCAGAGUGACAGGUGGUGCAUGGUUGUCGUCAGCUCGUGUCGUGAGAUGUUGGGUUAAGUCCCGCAACGAGCGCAACCCUUGAUCUUAGUUGCCAGCAUUCAGUUGGGCACUCUAAGGUGACUGCCGGUGACAAACCGGAGGAAGGUGGGGAUGACGUCAAAUCAUCAUGCCCCUUAUGACCUGGGCUACACACGUGCUACAAUGGGCAGAACAAAGGGCAGCGAAACCGCGAGGUUAAGCCAAUCCCACAAAUCUGUUCUCAGUUCGGAUCGCAGUCUGCAACUCGACUGCGUGAAGCUGGAAUCGCUAGUAAUCGCGGAUCAGCAUG